UGAUAGCUGCAACGUUGGUGACUGCCAAUAUCGUUUUUUGAUCUACAAGUAAGACCUAUAAGGGAACCAACCCCUUUUGUGGCAGUAAACCGGGCAAAGUACCCGGAAACUUAAAGCAAAAUGUCGGUGCCCACCUGACGACAGGAGGUCAUUAACUGAGGUAAAACGGCGUUGCAGUGUCAA
rnacentral:other from 1 species